rnacentral:lncRNA from 1 species
GGGGGUGCAAGCUUACAGAUAGAGCAGAGGGGGUGCAUGAGGAGCCCCGGGGUGGAGCGGUGUGGGGUGGGCACGGGGUUGGGGUGUCAGGGGGGUGUGGGUGUGCGCAGGAAGGAGAGUAAACAAGGGGAGGGCGAGGGGGAGUCACGGGAUGGGCUGUGGGGGAAGGGGCUGCUCCCGUGGGGACAAUGCGGGGGCACGGCGACGCCGUGGGGGCGGAGGGAAGGGCCCCCACCCUAUGGCCGCGGCAUGGGGUCACGCUGCGGCCGGGCGCAGCUCCAGGCCUCUCCUCCAUCUCCUCCUCUGAGUCAUCCCGCUGCGCUCCCUGGGGUGCCCCGCAGCUGUGGACCCCCCUCCCGCCCCAUAGGCUCCUCAUUUGACCCCACAGCAUCCCCGACCCCAUGGCGUCCCCGACCCCAUAGCAUCCCCUCCUCGUGCCGCUGCGGUUGGGGGCUGUUUUCCCCCCCUGCCCCACAGCUGCUGUCCGUCUCUUGCCCCCCCCCAAACGCCACGGUGUCGCCACUGGUGACCCCACACGCACCGUGGGGCACAGAGCUGUGAGCACAGCGGGGUGCUGGGGGGGGUCAGGAAGGGAUGGGGGGGUCUGGGGAGCGGCGGGAGGGCGGAGAUGUGAUGGCUGAGGAAUUGGGUUUGGGAAGAGGAGAGGAGCACGGAGGGGGAGGCAGAGCUGAGCACAGCAGGCAGCAUCCACCCCACAGCCCCCCCCAGCAGCACCCCGGGUUGCUCGGGGAGUUUGUCCCCCCUUUCUUGUCCCCUCCCUCCCCCCCGUUUCCAGGGCAAUCCAGAUGUUUGGGCGCAGCUCCGGCAUUGCUCAGCCCUGCUGCUCUGCCAGAUGUUUCCUCUCCCCUCGGCGCACGCGUUUCCCCGCUGCCAGCACCUCCCAUCCCACGCGCCGUGCGCAGGAUCUGCUGCCUGCAUCUCUUUGCCCAUCUGCUGCUGCUGCUCCUGGGGAGGGGAGCGGGGGGGUCUGCUGCUCCCUUUGGAGCUGCGACUCAUCCACGAAGAGCCGUGCAGGGUGGAUGCAGGGAUGUGCUGGGUGCUGGGGUGCUGGCACCGUGGGGAUGCAGUGGGGAUGCAGUGGUGCAGGGAUGCUGUUCUAUGGGGUGCAGUGGGGAAGCAUUGGGUGCAAGGAUGCUGGCACCAUGAGGAUGCAAUGGGGACGCAGAGGUGCAGGGAUGCAGGCACCAUGGGGAUGCAGUGGGGAUGCAGUGGUGCAGGGAUGCUGGCACCUUGGGGAUGCAGUGGGGACGCAGUGGUGCAGGGAUACAGGCACCUUGGGGAUGCAAUGGGGAUGCAUUGGUGCAGGGAUGUUGUCUCUAUGGGGUGCAGUGGGGAAGCAUUGGGUGCAAGGAUGCUGGCACCAUGAGGAUGCAAUGGGGACGCAGUGGUGCAGGGAUGCUGGCACCAUGGGGAUGCAUUGGGGCUGCAGUGGGGGUGCAUUGCUGCAGGGAUGCAGGCACCAUGCGGAUGCAAUGGGGAUGCAUUGGUGCAGGGAUGCUGUCUCUAUGGGGUGCAGUGGGGAAGCAUUGGGUGCAAGGAUGCUGGCACCUUGGGGAUGCAAUGGGGAUGCAGUGGUGCAGGAAUGCAGGCACCAUGGGGAUGCAAUGGGGAUGCAUUGCUGCAGGGAUGCAGGCACCAUGGGGAUGAAAUAGGGAUGCAAUGGGGAUGCAUUGCUGCAGGGAUGCAGGCACCAUGGGGAUGCAAUGGGGGUGCAUUGGUGCAGGGAUGCAGGCACCAUGGGGAUGCAAUGGGGAUGUAAUGGGGAUGCAUUGCUGCAGGGAUGCAGGCACCAACAGCGGUGCCUGGCCCUGCUGCUGCUGCAGGACCCCCGAGACCCCCCUCCGUGCUCCCAUUUUUUGCACGCACGGAGCGGCCUCCAUGCAGCUCCCAUGCGCUGCGCUCCCCUCCCUCCUGGAGCAGCACUUUGGGACCCAACCCACAACCGACCCGUGUGGGGGCCAGCAGUGGUGGGAUUUUCCCCGGGGUUGGGGCUGCCACGCUGCUCCCCCUGCAGACCUGGAGGCGCUGCUGGCCGACCUGAGCUCCUUCCUGCUCCUCCUCGACCGGGAGAACCUCAGCGCCGCAGCCCGAGCCAAGAAGCAGUCGGUGGGAGAGCUGCUGCAACGGCUGCAGGGCCCGGCAGCAGCAGCAGCAGCAGAGGAUGCGGAGUACAUGAUGAUGCGCUGCCUCUCGCCUUCCUCGGGGACCCGGCAGUGCCGGGGUGGUGCAGGAGCUGCAGUGAUGGAUGCAAGAGGAGGGAGAGCGUGUGAGCGUCUCCAGGGCAGCACCCAGAGCUCACAGAGAAAGGCACGGGGCUCCUCGCCCCCCCCGCCACCCGAGGGUUCCUACGAAGA